AGCGCGAGGAGGAUGGGCAGGCAGCCGGAGGCGGGGAUGGAUGGAGACGGGACUGGGCAUUUAAAAGGGAAGUCAACCCCGCGCAGCGCCCCGGCCCUGGGCACCUGGAGGGCUUGGGGAGCUGGGGUAGCCCAGGCGGGGACGUUGGGGGAAAAGGGGC